GAAACUGAGGAGAGGAGGAGGGUUUGGUGGAAAACAUGGAGUCUGAUCUUUUCUUAAAUGAGUAGACUAGGGCUCCACCUGCCGUGUGAAUAUUAGAUCAUAAUGGUUUUGAAUCAAACGAGGCAUAUAUUCAAAAUAAGUGUCUGGUCUAAAUCUCCCAACGGACGUCUUAAAAAGCGGUCAAAGAAAUUUACAUUGAGGCAAUAAGAGAUAACACACGUAAAUUAUGCCUACUUGCACACCCUCCAAAAAUGUAGACGUUACACAUUGAAAUGAGCAAGAAAAAAAUCCUCUUAUGUGGCAGACUGUGAUUAAGACCAAUCAGCGGCUCGUGCGGCUCAAGAUCAGAGGCGUUGAGAAGGUUACACAUGCGCGUUGGCUCGGCGCUGGGAUCUGCCGGACAAAUGAACCCAGAUAGCAGCUCCAGCUUGUUUCUUUUUAUAUAAAAAUAUAUCUGUAUUCAGUCAUGAGCGGAACUUUUUUUUUGUUGAGUAAAUAUAGGUAGGAGCUGGAUAUUGAAAUCGAUAUAGAGUGUUUUUGACUUCCGCCAGGACCUGUUGAUAGCCUCGACCAACGGCGCUGCAAUGGAGGUAUCUGAAAUAGAAGAAUGGCUUUGAAUUAAGAAAAGAGCAACUGAAAGAAACCAUGGAAAUCAUGGAUACUCGUGGUGCCUUGGAGGCGGUGGAGAGACUGCAAGCCAAGCUGAAAGAGAGGGGGGAGGCCCCCACGCAGGAGACGCUCUCCCUGCUCAAGACGCUGCUGCAGAGCCCUCUCUUCCAUCACAUACUCACCACACAGCAGCCAAAGAGAGCGCCCAGAGCCAAGGGGAGGCGAAUUUCCAAGUCUGUGUCCAUGAACAGCGGUGCAUGCGUUGGCCUGAAGGCGCUGUCUCACAGUGACUCUUACACCUGGGCCGUGGAGAACAGACGCUCCAGCACCACCAAGUAUUUCCACCGGGAUGGAAGUCACUCCUCGCUGGACUCCUUGGACCUGCACUGCACAGACUUCUACCCCGAGGACUCCAUGCCCGCCGAGUCGCAGUUCUGCACCCCCCCGCGUAUUUCCAGAACAAUGUCUAUGGGGAGAAACCUGGCUGCCAUCGCCCAUGAGGUAAGGACCCAGCAGGGGUUUCUGGUCCGUGUGCCUGAAUGA
rnacentral:lncRNA from 1 species